rnacentral:lncRNA from 1 species
AGAGAUGGAGAAAGCAAGAUAUUCCAUGACAAAACCAAAUUUACACAAUAUCUUUCUACAAAUCCAGCACUACAAAGGAUAAUAAAUGGUAAAGCCCAACAUAAGGAGGCAGCUAUACCCUAGAAGAAGCAAGAAACUAAUCGUCUUGGCAACAAAACAAAGAGAAGAAAAGCACACAAACAUAACCUCAUAUCCAAAUAUGAAUAUAACAGGAAGCAAUAAUCACUAUUCCUUAAUAUCUCUCACCAUCAACUCCCCAAUAAAAAGACAUAGAUUAACAAACUGGAUACGCAACGAGGACCCUGCAUUCUGCUGCCUACAGGAAACACUCCUCAGAGACAAAGACAGACACUACCUCAGAGUGAAAGGCUGGAAACCAACUUUCCAAGCAAAUGGUCAGAAGAAGCAAGCUGGAGUAGCCAUUCUAAUAUCAAAUAAAAUCAAUUUUGUACUAAAAGUCAUCAAAAAAGAUAAGGAAGGACACUUCAUAUUCAUCAAAGGAAAAAUCCACCAAGAUGAAUUCUCAAUCCUAAAUAUCUAAGCCCCAAAUACAAGGGCACCUACAUAUAU